AUUGAACGUUGGCGGCAGGCCUAACACAUGCAAGUCGAGCGGUUGAGGUAGCUUGCUACCGAUGCAGCGGCGGACGGGUGAGUAAUACAUGGGAAUCUGCCCGGUAGUGGGGGACAACGUUUCGAAAGGAACGCUAACACCGCAUACGCCUACGGGGAAAGGGGGGAAGUCUUCGGACCUCUCGCUAUCAGAUGAGCCCA
rnacentral:rRNA from 1 species